AACGAACGCUGGCGGCAGGCUUAACACAUGCAAGUCGAGCGCCCCGCAAGGGGAGCGGCAGACGGGUGAGUAACGCGUGGGAAUCUACCCAUCUCUACGGAAUACCGCAUGGAAACGUGUGCUAAUACCGUAUACGUCCUUCGGGAGAAAGAUUUAUCGGAGAUGGAUGAGCCCGCGUUGGAUUAGCUAGUUGGUGGGGUAAAGGCCUACCAAGGCGACGAUCCAUAGCUGGUCUGAGAGGAGGAUCGGCCACCCUGGCACUGCGACACGGCCCAGCCUCCUACGGGAGGCAGCAGUUGGGAAUAUUGGACAAUGGGCGCAAGCCUGACCCAGCCAUGCCGCGUGAGUGAUGAAGGCCCUAGGGUUGUAAAGCUCUUUCACCGGUGAAGAUAAUGACGGUAACCGGAGAAGAAGCCCCGGCUAACUUCGUGCCAGCCGCCGCCGUAAGAC
rnacentral:rRNA from 1 species